rnacentral:rRNA from 1 species
CGGACGGGUGGAGUAACGCGUGGGGAACCGUGCCCUGUACAGGGGGAGUAACACUUAGAAAUAAGGUGCUAAUACCGCAUAAGCGCACAGUAUCGCAUGAUACAGUGUGAAAAACUACCGGUGGUACAAGAUGGACCCGCGUCUGAUUAGCUGGUUGGCGGGGUAACGGCCCACCAAGGCGACGAUCAGUAGCCGGCCUGAGAGGGUGAACGGCCACAUUGGGACUGAGACACGGCCCAAACUCCUACGGAAGGCAGCAG